GAUGAACGCUGGCGGUAUGCUUAACACAUGCAAGUCGAACGGACUCUUCGGAGUUAGUGGCGGACGGGUGAGUAACGCGUGAGAAUCUGGCUUUGGGUUCGGGACAACCACUGGAAACGGUGGCUAAUACCGGAUGUGCCGAGAGGUAAAAGAGAAAUUGCCUGAAGAUGAGCUCGGGUCUGAUUAGCUAGUUGGUGAGGUAAAGGCUCACCAAGGCAGCGAUCAGUAGCUGGUCUGAGAGGAUGACCAGCCACACUGGGACUGAGACACGGCCCAGACUCCUACGGGAGGCAGCAGUGGGGAAUUUUCCGCAAUGGGCGAGAGCCUGACGGAGCACUACCGCGUGAGGGAAGAAGUCUCUUGGGUUGUAAACCUCUUUUCUUAGGGAAGAACAAAAUGACGGUACCUAAGGAAUCAGCAUCGGCUAACUCCGUG
rnacentral:rRNA from 1 species